GGGAGCCUUAAGUUCAUACGCUGGU
rnacentral:piRNA from 1 species